rnacentral:rRNA from 1 species
AGAGUUUGAUCCUGGCUCAGGAGAAACGCUGGCGGCGCGCCUAACACAUGCAAGUCGAACGCCCUCUUUCGGGAGGGAGUGGCGGACGGGUGAGUAACACGUGGGUACCUGCCUUCAAGUGAGGAAUACCGCCGAGAGAUCGGUGACAAGACCGCAUGUGCUCUCGUAAGAGAGCAAAGCUUCGCAAGAGGCGCUUGAAGAGGGGCCUGCGCUCGAUUAGCUAGCUGGUGGGGUAAGGGCCUACCAGGGCAAUGAUCGAUAGCUGGUCUGAGAGGAUGAUCAGCCACACUGGGAUUGAGAACGGCCCAGACUCCUACGGGAGGCAGCAGUGAGGAAUUUUCGGCAAUGGGCGCAAGCCUGACCGAGCAACGCCGCGUGCAGGAGGAAGGUCUUCGGAUCGUAAACUGCUUUUACCAGGGAAGAGAAUGGACGGUACCUGGUGAAGAAGCUCCGGCUAACUACGUGCCAGCAGCCGCGGUAAGACGUAGGGAGCGAGCGUUCUCCGGAUUUAUUGGGCGUAAAGGGCACGCAGGCGGUGCAGCAAGCCUCUGCUGACAGUCCUCAGCUUAACUGAGGAAGGCGUAGGGAAACUGCUGGACUUGAGACAUCGAGGGGCAGAGGGAGUUCCGUGUGGAGCAGUGAAAUGCGUAGAGAUGCGGAAGAACACCAGAGGCGAAGGCGCUCUGCUGGCGAUGUUCUGACGCUCACGUGCGAAAGCCAGGGGAGCAAACAGGAUUAGAUACCCUGGUAGUCC